rnacentral:rRNA from 1 species
CAGUCAUGCUAGUGAGGAAUCAGCUUGAUGGUGCGUGGGUUCGCUCGCAUACUUUCCGGUGCACUUCCUCACUCGGCAGGUUAGCAUCAAUUUCGGUUAUCAAUAAAAAAUUUGAGGGAAUGUGACUUUUCUUCGGAAAAGUGUUAUAGACCUUGAUCUAUGUGGUGACCGGGGUUGAGGAUUGGCAGGCGGA